rnacentral:rRNA from 1 species
AUUGAACGCUGGCGGCAGGCCUAACACAUGCAAGUCGAACGAGUGGCGGACGGGUGAGUAAUGCAUGGGAAACUGCCUGAUGGAGGGGGAUAACUACUGGAAACGGUAGCUAAUACCGCAUACCAUCAGAUGUGCCCAGAUGGGAUUAGCUAGUUGGUGGGGUAAAGGCUCACCAAGGCGACGAUCCCUAGCUGGUCUGAGAGGAUGACCAGCCACAAUGGAACUGAGACACGGUCCAGACUCCUACGGGAGGAAGCAGUGGGGAAUAUUGCGCAAUGGGGGCAAGCCUGAUGCAGCCAUGCCGCGUGAAUGAAGAAGGCCUGCGGGUUGUAAAGUUCUUUCGGAAGGGAGGCGUUAACUGCAGAAGAAGCACCGGCUAACUCCGUGCCAGCAGCCGCGGUAAUAC